UACGUGAGGGGCGAACGUUGUUCGGUGUCACUGGGCUUAAAGGGCGCGUAGGUGGCUGUGCAAGUAAGGUGUGAAAGCCCUCGGCUUACCCGGGGAAUUGCGCCUUAAACUGCAUGGCUUGAGGGAUUCAGGGGAAUGGGGAACUCCAGGUGUAGCGGUGAAAUGCGCAGAUAUCUGGGGGAAGGCCGGCGGCGAAGGCGAAUCUCUGGACAGUUACUGACACUGAGGCACGAAGGCCAGGGGAGCAAACGGG
rnacentral:rRNA from 1 species